UACGAAGGGUGCAAGCGUUACUCGGAAUUACUGGGCGUAAAGCGUGCGUAGGUGGUUCGUUAAGUCUGAUGUGAAAGCCCUGGGCUCAACCUGGGAAUGGCAUUGGAAACUGGCGACCUAGAGUGCGGUAGAGGGUAGUGGAAUUCCCGGUGUAGCAGUGAAAUGCGUAGAGAUCGGGAGGAACAUCCGUGGCGAAGGCGGCUCUCUGGACCGAGACUGACGCUGAGGCGCGAAAGCGUGGGGAGCAAACAGG
rnacentral:rRNA from 1 species